rnacentral:lncRNA from 1 species
CCAGGGAAUGCUUGGUUCCAUGCUGACCUUCAGAAAUGUUUCCUCUUCUCUGAGGCUGAUGGAAAUUUCUAGGGAAUUGAAAUGAUCCUGCCCAUCUAAAAGUCUUGCCAAUUUUAGGGGGCUGUUCUGAGACAGCAGUUGAGCCAUUCCUGUGAAUGACUCAGGUCUUCAGGACCACUUGCCUGGCAGGGCUGUCCCACGUAUGGCAGGGUACCACGAAUGAGCGUGAUUGCCCCAGAUACCACCUGUUGCAGAUCUCAUGAUGCAUGACGGGACAUGACUCAGGAUGGCAGAGUAAUAAAUGAAUAAGCAUUGGAAACAAAUUAAUAUGGACAUAUUUAGCCAUCCCAUAAUAACUCUCCCACACUUGCACAUGUGUACAGACACACAUAUACUUCCUGUCACCAAGGCAACCAUUCCCUGAAGCUGUAUUUUGUUCUUUUCCACAUUAGAUAUUUUUAACCUUACUUCCUAGGAGUGUAGCUCUGGUCUUUGGAGUCUCUCCUGAGGAAGUACCUCAGUACACCUCCUUGGGACAUGCUGUUACAUCUAACAUUUUCCAGGUCAGUUUUGAAGGCUCAUGUCUUACCCUCCUUCUGACAUGGAAUUCAGCCAACACACCAUUUGAAAAUGCACUGAAAGCAUCAGCAGCACAAAAUGACCAUUACGAUUGCUACUGUGAGUCAGAGGAAUUAGAGACAAAGGUAGCAUUUGCCUUGCAGUUCUCCCAGACAAUUCUCGCUUUAAAAAAAGGUGGGGAGGGGCGGGGGGGGUCACAAAGUUCAUGUGAAAAAGGAGCCAGCUUGGUUCCAAAAGAUGGAGACAGAGUCUCGGGAUUAAAAGGGACAGCUCUUAUUUUGGAGGCAGGAAUUUAGGACUAAGGAUGGUUUAAGAGCAGUUGACAUUUCUUUCCUCCUCCUUAUAACAUAUGUUACUCUUCAAUUAACCUCAUUUUCUAUUUUAGAUUUCAAUAUUUCAAAAUGCCAGCAACACAAAGGGGUCAGGAAACAGUUAAAAGAUUCUUAUACAAAUAUUGAUAUGGCUUUUGACAACAUCCAUGUAAUAAGCAGGGAAGUUUUUUCCUUUUUACAUCACCAACGCGUUCAUGAUUAAAGGUCAGUCUGUGGCAACAGUUAAUCUAAUUUCAUCUCUACGCUACAAUCAUUACUCUCUGCUUAAAAAAAAAAAAAUCUUAUUUGUCACCGGUCCAAAAAGUUCUCUGCAUAUCCUUCUGUCAGAUUUCUGCCAGAGGGGGAAUGGUACGAGGAUUUAAUUUACAGUAGUAAUCCACUCUCAUGCCCUGCCUGUUAUUAAGCGUCGGGGCACGGUGGAGUGGAGAGGGAAGUCUUCACUAGGAAACAACUGCUUGUAAAGUAGCUUAAGUGCAGAACUGGUGAUGGUGCGGCCGGCAUUUAUUAUGCCCUGAACUAGGGCUCUGGUUUUCAAAAACCCGAGACAGGAGAAAAGGUAGGAGCCACGAGGAAGACUGCACCCAGGUAAUCUGGGUCAGUCUAUACAUCAACGGAGAGAGGGGCAAGAGGCCAGUGGAUGGAGAGCCUCGGAUGGGUGCACAGUGGCCAAAACCCUGCGGCGGCGCAUCCCGAGGGCUGGAGGCGUGGGUGGGCUGCGGAGAAGGCGUGCAAGCCGGGCGCGCUGUUCUCCCGCCCCAUCCGACCCUGCCAAUGAGCG